AGCUCUCCAACAAAAGAAAAUCCAAUGGGUUUCUUUCCUCUGUCUUUUUAUGAAUGAAAAAAGCCUGAGGGUUGGGUUAUUUGUAUUUUAAUAUGAAUGGUUUAGGAAUGCUGUUCUUUUCUACCAACAGGCUGGGGGAUCUGGCAGCACUGGAGCAAAACAGAGCUGAGUCCAGGCACCAAACUACACUAAACUUUGCUUCACAGUUUGUAGGAGCACUGACCAGGAAAAGGACAAGAGGAGGGAGUCAGCAUUUCUUACAUUUUCUAGGAGAGCAGAUACUGUACUUCAACUGUCUCACAAAUCUGAGGGCCUUUUUCCUACCAGUGCUCUAGCACGGACAUGAGCAGCUUGCCUCUGCAGAGACCUGCUGUCCUGAAGCAACCUAAGCAAGUCAGACCUGACAACAGGGUCUAAAGACAAAGCAGGGUUAAUGGAAAAGCAGAGGUGAUAAGUGCUGCUGUACUUCCUGAAGAGUAGGAGACUGGAACAUGAGACAUGUCUAUGAAAGAUUCUUCCUAUAGGAGUUGGUAUACACAGAAGAAAAUAGCAUUUCCCAGCUUAAGUGUGUAGAUUAGAAGUAUUUUUGGCUGUAGUUCAAACACAGUGACAAGGUUUAGUACAGAAGAUAUUACUUCCUAAUACUUGUCAGUGUAAAAAAGACUUUGGGAGACAGGAGAAGAAAGAAGAUGGGAUAUUAUGUCAUUUAAGUCCCUAAGGACCUCACAACUGCUGUUUCUACAUUUAUGUUCUGCUCUUUCUGUAUUUCUGCAAUGUCUCUGAAAUGGGGAAUUGCACCUACCCCCAUUUAACUAAUCACAAAAUCAUGACUGCAGAGACCAAUACCUAGAUUCUCAAAGUCACACAGAAGUAUAUAUUCCGCUGAUAAAAAUAAGAUGGAAAUGUGAAAAAAGACUCAAUCUUCACUGAAAUUAAUUAUUUCAGACAUAAUUAAAAUCCACACGAGUGGUGAUAUCACACAGCCUUUCAUUACGGACUCCGUGCUUUACCAAGUGAGCCACUACCAAGUUAUAACUGCAUUUUAGCAGGGAUCUGAAACUGUAGACAUGUUAAAAGUGAUCAGAAUAAAACAUUCUGAGCUGUCCAGUGAGCAUUAAAAUAAUGAGCUGCUGCUGCUUAUCACCUGUUGGAUCCCAAAUUCAUAUAUCUGCAGAAAGGAAUUUGAGUGGUCUCAGCAAAAGGGCAUGGGCUACAAGAGCUGGGGCAAAAACCUCAGUUUAAGAAGCAAAUGGGACAUCACCAGUGUGGAGUGCCCUGCCUAAGCCAGAAAGACCAUACCCUGAUGUUAUCAAGCAUCUGCAGAAGACCUAUUGUGUUUUAUUUCUCCUUUUGUGUUACCUGUUCCCUCCAUGUAAUUCCCCUAAGAUAAAGUGGGUUUUCCCCUAUAGUGUAAGUGUUAAGACCCCAAAAUUUGUAAACUUGGGUUUUCCCCUUUACCUCAUCUCUGUAAAACCCCCAAUUUGUAAUAGGCCAACCCCCCAAUGAAUAUGUUGAAUACGUAGACCUAAACCUUUUAAAUAUCAACUUGUAAGUCCAAUAAAGCAUUCCAGUUUCUCACCUCCA